rnacentral:rRNA from 1 species
UAUGACACCACCCUUCCUAGUACGAAAGGACCGGAAGGGUAGGGCCCAUACUAUAGGCAAGCCCUCCCCCUAAGUAAUGAAUCCAACUAAAUUACCAAGGACCCACCAAACACCGUCCAAGAAAAGGACA